rnacentral:rRNA from 1 species
UACGUAGGGUGCAAGCGUUAAUCGGAAUUACUGGGCGUAAAGCGUGCGCAGGCGGCUUUGCAAGACAGAUGUGAAAUCCCCGGGCUUAACCUGGGAACUGCAUUUGUGACUGCAGGGCUGGAGUGCGGCAGAGGGGGAUGGAAUUCCGCGUGUAGCAGUGAAAUGCGUAGAUAUGCGGAGGAACACCGAUGGCGAAGGCAAUCCCCUGGGCCUGCACUGACGCUCAUGCACGAAAGCGUGGGGAGCAAACAGG